GAGAAAAGGUUGCUACAUUCAGUGACAUGAGAAAAAAACCUAGUGGGCAGGAGGGAUAGCUCAGCUGUUAAAGACUAGGCUCACAACCAAAAAUAUA
rnacentral:miRNA from 1 species